UGAUACACUGCUGACUUGGGGUCAUCUGCCUAGAGGGUAUUUUUGCAGUAGAUAUUAAGAUCCUGGAAAAUAGCCCUACCCUUUGAACUAGUCAUUCACUUAUAGAAAUGAUGCCUAACAAGAUAGAGUUGCUUCAAUAUAUCAAAUUUUAGGAGAAUGGUUGAAUAAAUUAGGGCAUAUUGGUAAGAGAGAAUACCAUAGUCCCCCCUAUUUGUGGUUUUCUUUUCCAAAAAUAUUGACCAGAAACAUUAAAUGGAAAAUUCCAGGAAUAAGUCAUGAGUUUUAAGUAGUGUUAUUGGGAGAAGCAGAAUGAAAUCCCAUCUCACAAUGACAUCACUGUUCAAGCUUUGUUCCACCUGGCAUGUGAAUCAUCUAUUUGUCCAGCAUAUCCAUGCCAUAUACACUAUAGCCUCUCAUUAGUCAGCAAACAUCUUGUUAAUCAGACCCACUGUCGCAGUAUCACAGUGCUUGUGUUCAAGAAAUCCUAUUUUUCUUUACAAUGGUCCCAAAGCACAGGAAUAGUAAUGCUGGCAAUUUUAUUAAAUUAUUUUAUUAAAAUUUCAUGUUAUUAUUAUUGUUAUUCUCUUUCUAUGCCAAAUUCAUAUAUUAAACUUUAUCAAAGACACGUAUGUAUGUAUGUAUGGGAAAAAACAGUAUGUAUAGGAAUUGGUAUGAUUUGAGGGUUCAAGCAUCCACAAGGAGUCUUGGAACAUACCCCCUAUACAUAAGGCAGGAUUACUCUAUGAUACUCUUUUUAAGCAUUUUUUGUUUUGCAGAACAUUUAGUACUGUGGCAAAAUGCUUAUGAUAGAGAAAAAUGUAAGAAUUUCACAAACUGUUACUGGUAAGUUUUGGGAUUGGAAUGGGACACCAAGAAAAGUUUUUAUGAGCAGUUAUUAUUUUUUAAUUUUAAAAAGUACUCAAGAUUCAUUUUUAGUAAAAGUAUAAAAACAAGAUACACUACUACACUCACAAUAAUCCCAGUUAUACAUAUAGAAACACAUGGAAAGAAAACAUACUAAAUACUAAUAAUGCUCAUAUAUAGGCAAUUUUUCUUUUCUCUACCAUUUACAGAUUUCCUACAAUGAACUUAUUUUUUAUAAUAAGAAUUUGAAAGGACUUAGAAUUCUUCAAUCUUGAAAUAAUUAAAAACAUUAGAGGUAUAUAAACUAAGGUGUGAGAAUCCAUAAAUUACAGACUUAACUUUUACCUCCUUUCACUUGGACAUUGAGAACCAAAAAUUUUAAAGGGAAAAGACAAAAAGAACAGGUUUCCUUAAAGAACUUUAAAAUUUGUUUUUAAUACCAUUGGACUUAAAGCCUCCCAUGGUAAAUUCCAACUCUGGUAAUAAGGGCAUAUAUUGUUGAGACUUGACAUGGUCAUUUGCUUAACUCUUUAUUUAAUCUGAAAUGAUCUUGGAUCUCACUAUGACUCAUAAAAGUGAAAGGAUCUAUUUGUCAAAGAAGAGUAGGAUAGUCAUCUUAAUAAAUUGCAGAACUGAAAAAUAACAGUUGAACUUAGCCUUUAAUUAUUGAAUUCACUCAACAUAAUUUUUUGAGUGCCCAUGCCUAGACAGCUCUACUUGAUAACUACCAAAGCAUUAAGGGUAGUAAAGUCACCCUGAGGAAGUGCCCUUGAAAAGCCAGGCACAGAUAAAGGACAGGAGUGAAGAGUGCUCUAGGCAAUAGGGACAGUGUAUAUAUAAAAAUAUGGCUGCUGAUUUUCAGUUGAUAGCUGUGUCUAAUUAGGCUGAUAGAAUCUUACUCCAACAGGCGUAUCAGAAUGCAUUUUCAUUCCUGAGGACCCUUCCCUUGGUGUUAAAUAAAACAAACUGUCUUCAGCCUUCAAUAACAAAUGAAUUCCAUUUUGCUACACUUCUGCUGGAUCUAAAGAAUCACAAUAGAUAAGAGUCUCACACCAUUUUGAAAUGGUAUAAAUAGUGUCUCUGGUGGUUCAGCAUAUUUAACUUGUUUCCUUC
rnacentral:lncRNA from 1 species